UUUUUUUUUUUCCGAACUGAGGAUUGGGGUUCUUUAUUUGCCUUUCUCUUCCAGCGUCCUUCUUCCUUCUUCCUUCUUUCUUCUUGGUCCAUAGUUAAUCUUUGGCGCUCAGAUUAUUUGCUUCUUCUUUUUCUUCUUCUUUUGUUGUCAUUUUUCUUCUUUCUCUAUCUUUUACUUCCUCAUCUCUCCUCCAGUCGCUCUCACCCUCAAAAACCAGAUCGAAAAACAUACCAAACACCAAACAACCAAAUCUGAAUCGUACCUUCGCCAUCCUUCUCUCUCAGCCUCUCACAUCCUGCUUCAUUUCCUAUGAAACCAAUCUUGGCCCAAAAUCCGUAAUACCCAAAUCAAAAAACCUAACACCUCAGCCCCAAAUACCUCCUCCAAUCUCACGUGCUCUCUCGACUUCUUGCUUAGCAAUCAGUUGCUUGUCACACUCGAUUUCUGUUGAGCAAUCGAAAUCUUGUCGCUCAUUAGAGCUGGUUAUGGCGAAAGUGAUCCGUAUCCCUCACGCUCAGUUAAGAGUGAAGCAUAUGAUAUUCAAGAACUAGCCGACACGUUGCAGAUUGGGUCCAAAUUCUAUGUAAUUGGAAUCUCAAUGGGGGCUUACCCUGUUUGGGGUUGCUUGAAAUACAUACCGCACAUGCAUGGUACUUACUUGAA